ensembl:lncRNA
CCUUGGUUUAGGUGAUAGCCUGGCAUCGUGUGUGAUUCUUCUUGUUUAACCUAUAGCCGUGUCAAGUGCUUUACUAUUGUUCAGUUUGUUGGUUGGCUCGCAAGGUAGAUGACUCCUUAAAAAGAAAGUUGGGCUGCUGAGUCAUUCGCCCCAGCCUGAGAGGUAAUUAGGAACAGCUGGUGCCGGUGCGCUCAUCACAUGCCUCCACUAUAAAAGGCCAAGGAGCACUCCAGAAGGGUUGCCUCAGAGGCCUGAAGCUGGGGUUGUGUGUGUGUGGAUGCAGGUAAUCAGUGGGUGAGGUGCCAGCACUCUUAGGAAGCGGCCAAGUAAUGCUGAGGUGGUGUUUAAACACAGAGCAGCCUCGUGACCUACUGCCUGAGAAGUUUGUGCCAGUGAGAGCUAAAACAGAGGAAGAAAUGUGCAGCUAGGAGUCACCUCCCAACAGUACUGUAACAGAAAUAUUCAUUUCUCUUACUGCACUCAGGGUUUUUUGUUUGUUUGUUUUCCUGUGGUUUUGCUGUUGUGUGGUGUAUACAUCUCAGAAAAUGCGCUUCAUCUGUUCUUCAUGAAGAUUUCGGUAGGAGAAUGCCAAAGGAGCCUGCCUCCUGGUUUUUUGUGGACCCUGGCUUUUCAGGCACACAGUAGUAGUUUCUGGUGGCGGAGAGGAGGACGCGGGUGGAAUUAACAGGUCUCUUUGGGUCAAGUCUAGAAAGCGCUGACUGAUGGAAGGCAAACCAUAUGGCUGUCUGUCUUAUUGNNNNNNNNNNNNNNNNNGUGUCUUUCCAAGUUGGAUCAUUACUUAUUGCUUUAAAAACGAGCCCAGGACCCAAGCAUACAGUCCCUAUUGUCUACAAAGUUUAGGGAUGGGAAAUGUGAACUGGGAGCAGCUGGCCCUUAUCUGUGGUCACAAGAAUGAAUCUUUUUUCUUUUAUUUAAAAAUUCUCAAUUAAAACAUUUAUUGAGAUCAUUGUAAAUUCACAUGCAGCUGUUAAGGCAGAGAGCCCCUUUGCUGCACUCGGCUCAGUUUCUUCCAAUGGUGGUGUUUUUGCAAAAUUGUAUGUCGCAACCAGGAUUUUGACAGUAGUACAAUUCACCCAUCUUAGGCUUUCCUGGUUUUACUUGUACUAAAUUGCGUAUGCUGUAAAAUUCUAUACAGUUUGGUUUUCUGGGUGGGUCCAUGUGCCCACUGCUGUAGUAAGGGAACUGACAGUUUCAGCGCCUCCCCGAGAAUCCCUUGUGUUGCCCUUUUAUAAUCCCACUCACUUCCUUUCUGGUUUCCAUCCAUACUCCCUCACCCCCUCCCUCCAUUCCUAAUCCCUGGCAACCACUAAUCUGUCCUCCUCUCUUAAAGUUUUGUCAUCUGAAAAAUGUCACAUAAAUGGAAUCCUACAGUAGGUGACCUUUUGGGAUUGGCCUUUAUCUUCUUACUGCAGUUUCUCUGAGAUUUAUCCAAGUCUUAGGCAUCCGCAGUGUAUUCUUUUCUUUUGCUGAGCAUUCCUUACUGUGGGUAUACUGGUUUUUAUUUAGCUGUACACCUAUUGAAGGAAAUCAGGCUAAUUCCAAUUUUGGGCUGUUACAGAUAACACUGCAGUGAGCGCUUGUGCAAGAUGAGGUUUCAUUUUUCUGGCGUAAAAGAAUAGGAGUGCAGUUGCUGGGACAUAUGGUGGUUGCAUGUUUAUAAGAAACCGCCAAACUGGCUUGCAGAGCAGCUGCACCAUUUUACGUUCCUACCAGCAGUGUGUGAGUUUUCCUGUUUCUCCACAUCUUCACCAGUAUUUGGUAUUGCUGUUUUUAUUUUACUUUAUUUUUUUAGCCAUUUAAAAGCUAAUUAAGUAUGCCCAGUUUAGCAGGUGUUUAAGAGAAUCACAGAAAAAUUAUAUCUUGAUCACUCUUACUGGAAUUCAGUGUUCUAAAAUUAAUUUUUGUAUUUUGAGCCUAGAAUGAAGCUUUCCAUGCCCUCAGUAGGUGUCAUCUCCCCCUCUCUCUGCAGAGGCAGGUUCAGUGUAAAUGUACAAUUUUGAGCUUAAAGGUUUUAUUAGCUAGGGUCCUUGAAUCUUUGCUGAGACUGUACUAGGCACAAGUUUUAGGUCUUCACGUAGAUCACUUUGUAAAUCUGAAUCUUUAAAAAUUUUAUUAGAAACUCGGAGAUAACUGAUAGUUAGCCAUUGACUGUCCACAUGGUUAGGAGUACUUUCAUUGCUUUAGCUAUUUUGUUCUCCGGCCUUGAAUAUUCCACUGUAGUAGUUUAUCACGGCUGAGGAGUUGUUUGGAAUAUCGUAACCACGUGGACCUAGGAUGGCAACAGACCCCAGCACUUGAAACAGUGUGUUGAACGUUUAUCCGUGUUGCUUUAUUCCAUAGAUGCCUUCUU